UGGUGUAAGGUCGGCCAGACAAGG
rnacentral:piRNA from 1 species